UUAGAUCAAUCGUGAUACAAUUUACCACGAUCGCGGUAUCCCCACUGGGCACCAGAUGACGGCAAAGCAAAACACUUGUUUUUGACCCUCGAAACUAAUUCGAAACCUAAAAUAAUCGAAACCUAAAAUAAAUGAUCUAAUAGUGAAAUUUGAGUGUAAUAACAUUUCAAAUCCAUUAGAAUUAUCAAAACACUCAUCCAAUAUUGUUUUGGAAAAGUGGG
rnacentral:lncRNA from 1 species